rnacentral:misc_RNA from 1 species
AGCAAAUUGCAGCGUUGUGUCCAUAUUGCAUUUAAUAUUUGGUCAAGCGAUGCUGCAACAUCGUGCCGGGUGAAGCAUUGUUCAUUUUAUAAAAUUGGAAAUAAACAUGAGUGGUCGUUCAAAAGAAUGGACACUGUCCUGCAAGGUGUAUGUGGGUGAAUUGGGGAACAAUGCAAACAAGCAGGAACUGGAAGAUGCAUUUGGUCAGUACGGAAGGCUAAAGAAUGUCUGGAUUGCCAGGAAUCCCCCAGGGUUUGCGUUUGUUGAAUUUGAAGAUGCAAGGGAUGCAGAAGAUGCAUGCAAAGAACUUCACGGAAAGAGACUUUGUAGAUCUAAAGUGAGAGUGGAGAUGUCACAUGGGAAGUCCCGCUGGGGUAAGGGUGGUCCCCCUGUGCGUCAGUACGGAGGUGGUGGUGGUGGCGGCGGCGGCAGUAGGGGAGGUCGAGACAGCAAAGACAGUUACUGGCGUCCAGGAACAAGUCGAGGAGGACGUUCUAGGCCUUUCCCCUUUGAUGCCUUUGGACAGCUACACCUGCCAACAGCAUCAGCGCAGUGUUUUACAAUUACAAAUCAACUUUCCUCCCACCUUCGCCGCCCAGCCUAGCUAAGGCUUACACCUUAGACCAAGAAACAACGUUUUGUUUCAAUACUUCAACGUACGGCACAGCAAAUCAGCCAUCUCUCUGACAAGCCACGUCGUAAAUAUCAUCAGGUGCUACAGUACAGUAAGACUUCUACAGCAAAGUCUUCCAAAAACCCUGGGAGUUGUCUUCAGCAUUCUGCCCAUCAUCCAUCGGCCUUCGCAUAGUUGGGCUCUUGUCACCAAACGAUAAGCCUAACUGAUUGACUAUUGUGCAUCGGCACCAAUUUGACAAUGGUCAAUCAGCAUGUAGGUUCCUUCCACCAUCAAUCAACUUAUCUACAGCCCUCUCUUCGUUGUUCGGCUUCGGUCCUCGUUUGCUCCAUCAUUACCACAACAAACAACACAUUGUUCACCCUCAACUCUAAGGCCUACGGGGCAUACCACUUUUCCCAAAUCUGUCCAAAUUCUGCAGUCAUCGUGCGUCCACUCACCAGGGCUACAACCGUCGGUAGACAUCAUCGAUCGAUGACAGCGCAAUGGUCAAGGUCCCGAUCUCCAAUACCCCGUAGGAGGUACUCCCGAAGCAGAAGCCGCAGCAGGUCAACCUCUCCAUACCGACGUUAAUUGGUGC